rnacentral:rRNA from 1 species
UGCACGCUUGGCGGCAGGCCUAACACAUGCAAGUCGAGCGGUAUGAGAGGGAGCUUGCUCCUGGAUUCAGCGGCGGACGGGUGAGUAAUGCCUAGGAAUCUGCCUGGUAGUGGGGGAUAACGUCCGGAAACGGGCGCUAAUACCGCAUACGUCCUGAGGGAGAAAGUGGGGGAUCUUCGGACCUCACGCUAUCAGAUGAGCCUAGGUCGGAUUAGCUAGUUGGUGGGGUAAAGGCCUACCAAGGCGACGAUCCGUAACUGGUCUGAGAGGAUGAUCAGUCACACUGGAACUGAGACACGGUCCAGACUCCUACGGGAGGCAGCAGUGGGGAAUAUUGGACAAUGGGCGAAAGCCUGAUCCAGCCAUGCCGCGUGUGUGAAGAAGGUCUUCGGAUUGUAAAGCACUUUAAGUUGGGAGGAAGGGCAGUAAGUUAAUACCUUGCUGUUUUGACGUUACCAACAGAAUAAGCACCGGCUAACUUCGUGCCAGCAGCCGCGGUAAUAA